UACGUAGGGUGCAAGCGUUGUCCGGAAUUAUUGGGCGUAAAGAGCUCGUAGGCGGUUUGUUGCGUCGGCUGUGAAAUCCCGAGGCUCAACCUCGGGUCUGCAGUCGAUACGAGCAAACUAGAGUGUUGCAGGGGGAGACUGGAAUUCCUGGUGUAGCGGUGAAAUGCGCAGAUAUCAGGAGGAACACCGGUGGCGAAGGCGGGGUCUCUGGGGCAACAACUGACGC
rnacentral:rRNA from 1 species